UACGUAGGGGGCAAGCGUUGUCCGGAUUUAUUGGGCGUAAAGAGCGUGUAGGCGGCUAUACAGGUCCGUUGUGAAAACUAGGAGGCUUAACCUCCAGACGUCGAUGGAAACCGUAUGGCUAGAGUCCGGAAGAGGAGAGUGGAAUUCCUGGUGUAGCGGUGAAAUGCGUAGAUAUCAGGAGGAACACCGGUGGCGAAGGCGGAUCUCUGGGCCAUUACUGACGCUGAGGAGCGAAAGCGUGGGGAGCGAACAGG
rnacentral:rRNA from 1 species